rnacentral:rRNA from 1 species
CAGGGCUUAACACAUGCAAGCUCGAGGGGCAGCAGGUUAAGAUGCUUGCAUCUUUUCGCUGGCGACCGGCGCACGGGUGAGCUAACGCGUAUCCAACCUUCCCAUCAGUAGAGCAUAGCCCGUCGAAAGUCGGAUUAAUCUCUCUAUAUGUUAUUAUUUGGCAUCUUGUUUUAACGAAAGAUUUUUCGCUGAUGGAUGGGGAUGCGUCUGAUUAGUUUGUUGGUAGGGUAACGGCCUACCAAGACAUCGAUCAGUAGGGGUUCUGAGAGGGAGGUCCCCCACACUGGUACUGAGACACGGACCAGACUCCUACGGGAGGCAGCAGUGAGGAAUAUUGGUCAAUGGACGCAAGUCUGAACCAGCCAAGUAGCGUGCAGGAUGACUGCCCUAUGGGUUGUAAACUGCUUUUUUACGGGAUUAAUUCGUUCCACGUGUUGGUUCGUUGCAGGUACCGUAAGAAUAAUGACCGGCUAAUUCCGUGCCAGCAGCCGCGGUAAUACGGAAGGUCAAGGCGUUAUCCGGAUUUAUUGGGUUUAAAGGGAGCGUAGGCGGCCGAUUAAGCGCGUUGUGAAAAGCAGGUGCUCACCAUUUGUCGUGCAGCGCGAACUGGUUGGCUUGAGUGUCAUGAAAGGUGGCGGAAUUCGUGGUGUAGCGGUGAAAUGCUUAGAUAUCACGACGACCUCCGAUUGCGAAGGCAGCUGCCUGCAUGAUUACUGACGCUGAUGCUCGAAGGUGCGGGUAUCGAACAGGAUUAGAACCCUGGUAGUCCGCCAGUAAACUAUGAUGCUCGUGUUCGGUUUUUGAUGAC